CAAAAAGGAUACGGAGAAGAUCCUCAUUCGGUUUUUGAGACUUGAAAUGCCGAAAGCUUUGAUUUUGGGUUUUGUUCCGUGUCGUCUUCCUCCCUUCUUCGAUCACUCUGCCUAAUUUUCCAUUUAUUUUGUUCUGCAAAAUUUCUCAAGCAGCGAAGAAACCCUCGUUGCCUGCUCCAGCAGAAAUCCCAAGCGUCUAAAUCAAAUUCUCGUUUUUUUCAUGCAAUUACAGAUCCAUUUUUUUAAUUCAUUCUACAGUUCUCCCUCUUUCCUCAUGCUCUCCCGCUCACUCUUUAGAUAUUAUGCUGUCUAUUUCUCUUCUACGACAUGCAGUGAAAUGGUGAGACAGAACAGGGUCGCCUAUACCACCGCCAAGGCCGCCUAGCACGCCAAGUCGGCCGCUUAGGAUGCCCAAUCGGUCGCCUAGCAUGCCCAAUCGGCCGCCUAGUCACCGCUUAAACCCCUCCGAUUUAUUGAACGUUUUUAGGAUAAUCGCGAAGGCGGCCUAAUGCCCAGCGCCUAAGUGGCCGCUUAGACCGCUUUUUAGAACAGUGUAUACAUAUUCAAGAUGGCCAUGCUAACUUACAUAAUUUCACCGAGUAAAAGAGGAAAGUUACCACUGCAAGAUCUACAUCUACUAAAUAGAAAGUGUAAGAUUAUGUGUAUGAAUUAUGUAAGAGGACUGGCUAUAGUGUUUAAGAUUGAUAUGGAAAAGUUUUGAUUAAAAGCUGUGAGUUAUCCUUAUUCUUUUCGGAUAUGAGUAUUGAGAAUUGUUCAAUCCCUGUGGGAUUGAAACUUAGUGCUGGAACUCAUUUAGACUCAUGAUUUAGUAUUGAUUGUAUAGUUUAAAUCCUAAACUGAUUCUAAUAGGGAAUAGUUAGAGGAAUACUAUAUAAGGCUUAAACCCUUAAGCCACUACUUGCAAGCUCUUGGUUCAUGAUCGUUACAAGUCCUAUUGAUUAAACGAGCUAUCGUGUCUUGUUAAAGAGGAGAAGGUUUUGAGUUCACGAAGCUACAAUGGCUACUUCAUCUGGAUCGAAUUCUGCAGAGCUCCUCAUUCAACUCGCCAAUACUCUGCGCUGCGGCUACCAGAAAAAACAAAUGAAAACAUAGCGCAGAUCCACGUAAAGUAAGAAGCUGAGUCGGGUCGAGACGGAGAAUACAACUCAAUGCUCAUAACAGCAUUAGCAUGACACAUUCUUGUCAAAACCCAAAUUCCGGGGAGGUAAGGAGCGAGAAAAAUACUGACAUGCAAAAUUCAAAUUUAUUAUCUGUUAACCAAAUUCAAACUGUUCACUUUCCAUGUUUCAAAAAAUACAGGAUUUGUCUCAGACAUAUAUACUGUAUAUAUCACAAAAUUCAAUCAAAUAGACAUUUUUAUCAAUUCCUCUUGACGAAGGCCAGCACAACAAUCUCUCAACGUCUGUCCAGUAAUUCCUUGCGCCCAUCCCCUUGAUCUUCAUGUUAC